ensembl:lncRNA
AUAAACAUCUUGUAUCACAGUGCCUCUCCUCUUUCUAUAAACAUCUUGUAUAACAGCGCCUCUCCUCUUUCUAUAAACAUCUUGUAUCACAGCCUCAUCACAGCCUCUUCUAUAACAUCUUCUAAACAGCACCUCUCCUCUUUCUACAAACAUCUUGUAUCACAGCUCAUCACAGCCUCUUUCUAUAAACAUCUUGUAUCACAGCGCCUCUCCUCUUUCUAUAAACAUCUUGUAUCACAGUGCCUCUCCUCUUUCUAUAAACAUCUUGUAUCACAGCCUCUUUCUAUAAACAUCUUGUAUCACAGCGCCUCUCCUCUUUCUAUAAACAUCUUGUAUCACAGCGCCUCUCCUCUUUCUAUAAACAUCUUGUAUCACAGCGCCUCCUCUUAAUAUAGUUCUAAUUGAACUGUAUUUAAAAAUAU